ACAAAAAAAAACAUUUGGCCCGUGUUUCUCUCUCUCUCGCUCUGUGUCCGACGAGCCUUCACGAAAUCGGAACCCAAUGGAGGAUAAAUUGGCUCGUCGGAGUCUUCUAUCCGCCGGAGAUGAUGGUCACGAUCGGCGAUGAGAUGUUCAGCAAAUCGUCGACUCUGUUGAGCAAAUCCGCGAUUUUCGUUCAGCAAAUUAGGGUUAUUUGAAUCUGUAUGUGUUAUUAGGCAUGAAUGUGAUUAUGUUUCUGUAUAGGAUCCAACCAUUGGGUUUACUUAACAAUGGAAGGCAAUGAGGAAUUGAAUCAAUCUGGGUUUUGAUCUUCAAAUCUAUUUGCUUUAUCCCGAUUUUGCUAAUUCUAAAAAAAUGGUUUCGUUGUUGUUGAAUCUCGAGCGUUGAUGCUUAAGGGUUUUGAAGAUCUUGCUGUUGCUGUUAAAGUCACCAUGGGUCCAAAGAUUCAGAAGUUUGAGUUUCCCGAUGAAAUGUAUUUUGGUUGAGUGAUUUGUAUUUGUGUAUUUGUCCAUGAGGUGUUUACCAUUGGACUAGCCAAAACUAAUAAACAUGCUUAAGUG